ensembl:misc_RNA 7SK 7SK RNA
GGAUGUGAGGGCGAUCUGGCUGCGACAUCUGUCACCCCAUUGAUCGCCAGGGUUGAUUCGGCUGAUCUGGCUGGCUAAGCAGGUGUCCCCUUCUUCCCUCACUGCUCCAUGUGCGUCCCUCCCGAAGCUGUGCCACUCGGUGGAAGAGGAUGGCCUUCCCCUAAUAGAGAUGGACCGGUCUUUGGUCGAGAGUAUAUGAGUAGCUGCGCUCCCCUGCUAGAACCUCCAAACAAGCCCUCAAAUGAUAUUACAGGUGCUGAUCCCAAUAUAAUCAACUCAACGAGUUCUGCCUCAACAUGGUUAACUUCAGACUGU